rnacentral:rRNA from 1 species
GAUGAACGCUGGCGGCGUGCCUAAUACAUGCAAGUCGAGCGAACGGACGAGAAGCUUGCUUCUCUGGUGUUAGCGGCGGACGGGUGAGUAACACGUGGAUAACCUACCUAUAAGACUGGGAUAACUUCGGGAAACCGGAGCUAAUACCGGAUAAUAUUUUGAACCGCAUGGUUCAGAAGUGAAAGACGGUCUUGCUGUCACUUAUAGAUGGAUCCGCGCUGCAUUAGCUAGUUGGUAAGGUAACGGCUUACCAAGGCAACGAUGCAUAGCCGACCUGAGAGGGUGAUCGGCCACACUGGAACUGAGACACGGUCCAGACUCCUACGGGAGGCAGCAGUAGGGAAUCUUCCGCAAUGGGCGAAAGCCUGACGGAGCAACGCCGCGUGAGUGAUGAAGGUCUUCGGAUCGUAAAACUCUGUUAUUAGGGAAGAACAUAUGUGUAAGUAACUGUGCACAUCUUGACGGUACCUAAUCAGAAAGCCACGGCUAACUACGUG